GAUCCUGGCUACAGAACGAACGCUGGCGGCAUGCCUAACACAUGCAAGUCGAACGAGACCUUCGGGUCUAGUGGCGCACGGGUGCGUAACGCGUGGGAAUCUGCCCUUUGCUUCGGAAUAACACAGAGAAAUUUGUGCUAAUACCGGAUAAUGUCGCAAGACCAAAGAUUUAUCGGCAAAGGAUGAGCCCGCGUAAGAUUAGGUAGUUGGUGGGGUAAUGGCCUACCAAGCCGACGAUCUUUAGCUGGUCUGAGAGGAUGAUCAGCCACACUGGGACUGAGACACGGCCCAGACUCCUACGGGAGGCAGCAGUGGGGAAUAUUGGACAAUGGGCGAAAGCCUGAUCCAGCAAUGCCGCGUGAGUGAUGAAGGCCUUAGGGUUGUAAAGCUCUUUUACCCGGGAUGAUAAUGACAGUACCGGGAGAAUAAGCUCCGGCUAACUCCGUG
rnacentral:rRNA from 1 species